UACGGGGGGGGCAAGCGUUGUUCGGAAUUACUGGGCGUAAAGGGCUCGUAGGCGGCCAACUAAGUCGGAUGUGAAAUCCCCAGGCUCAACCUGGGAACUGCAUCCGAUACUGGAUGGCUUGAAUUCGGGAGAGGGAUGCAGAAUUCCAGGUGUAGCGGUGAAAUGCGUAGAUAUCUGGAGGAAUACCGGUGGCGAAGGCGGCAUCCUGGACCGACACUGACGCUGAUGCGCGAAAGCCAGGGGAGCGAACGGG
rnacentral:rRNA from 1 species